GUAUCAAGACUUUAUAUUUUAGGGGAAGGUUUUUUAAUAACCUUUACCAAAUUGGGCUAUUUGGGAGAAGAAAUGAAGACCAUGCUCCACAGUGGGUUACAUACCACUUUGUAGAGUUCAUUGCUAUUUUGUGGCCUUUAUU